UACAGAGAGUGCAAGCGUUAAUCAGAAUUACUGGGCGUAAAGCGCACGUAGGUGGAUACCUAAGUCAGAUGUGAAAGUCCUGGGCUUAACCUGGGAAUUGCACCUGAUACUGGGUAUCUUGAGUAUGGUAGAGGGAAGGUGGAAUUUCCGGUGUAGCGGUGAAAUGCGUAGAUAUCGGAAGGAACACCAGUGGCGAAGGCGGCUUCCUGGACCAAUAC
rnacentral:rRNA from 1 species